GACGAACGCUGGCGGCGUGCUUAACACAUGCAAGUCGAACGGAAAGGCCCUGCUUUUGUGGGGUGCUCGAGUGGCGAACGGGUGAGUAACACGUGAGUAACCUGCCCUUGACUUUGGGAUAACUUCAGGAAACUGGGGCUAAUACCGGAUAUGAGCUCCUGCUGCAUGGUGGGGGUUGGAAAGUUUCGGCGGUUGGGGAUGGACUCGCGGCUUAUCAGCUUGUUUGUGGGGUAGUGGCUUACCAAGGCUUUGACGGGUAGCCGGCCUGAGAGGGUGACCGGCCACAUUGGGACUGAGAUACGGCCCAGACUCCUACGGGAGGCAGCAGUGGGGAAUAUUGCACAAUGGGCGGAAGCCUGAUGCAGCAACGCCGCGUGCGGGAUGACGGCCUUCGGGUUGUAAACCGCUUUCGCCUGUGGCGAAGCGUGAGUGACGGUAAUGGGUAAAGAAGCACCGGCUAACUACGUG
rnacentral:rRNA from 1 species